rnacentral:lncRNA from 1 species
ACUUUGGUACCACUUCAAUCGCUAAUGUAAACAAUGACGCGAUAAUAACAAUGAAGCAUUUGUGUAUUGAACCGUUGCUUAUGUUACAGUCAUGGGGACCUGGCUAGGCCUGUUGCAGGGGCACAAGGUCGAGUACGGUCAGACCAAUUAUGGUCUGAUCUUACUAAUAUAUUAAAUUCCGUUGGUGGUGGUGUCAACAAAACAACAGACAAGUGGAAAAAAGUAUGGGCCGAUUUAAAAUCCAAGACUAAGAAAAAAGGUCUGACCUUGCGGCAACAUGCCAGAGGGACUGGAGGUGGACCGGCUAGCCAGAAAUCCUUGUCGCAUUUGGAGAAAAGGGUUCUGGCUAUAAUCGGCCCAACAGCAGUGGAAGGACAAGACUAUACAAGAGCUUGGAUUUAGUAGACCUCAAUCUUCUGCACCUGCACCCUCUCAAUCAUCUGCAGUUGUUGCUCAAGAAGAUGAUCCAGUAUAUGUGGAUCAUGCUGUUGGGAUGUCGUUUUGA